GAGAGGAACGCGUCAACGCGUGGGCGAAAACGAAAACAUCUGACAUAGUAGCUGGAACCGAAUCGAGGCCCGUCGUCCACUACUACAGCCACUCGGAGCGCUCCCGCAGCGACGGCCGGACCACGUGCCGCCGGCGCCGGCGCCCCUCGUCGCCGGACGCGAGAGCGGACGCGCCGUGCCGCACGAGGCCAGCCGCGCACCCGCAGGCCACGUCGAGGUGGUGCGGCGGCCCCAAAGGAGGCCCCGGCUGCGGCGGCCCCAAGGGGCGCCACGGCAGCGGGCUCCUCCACGGCCGGUGCCGGGUCGGCGGGCUCCUCUACGGCCCGUGCCGCGCCGGCGGCGUCCUCUACGGUCCGUAGCUGUACGGCGGCCUCAAGUUGCGCGGGGGCCCGCACCUGCACGGCUGCGGACCGCGCGGCCACGGCCCGUGCGGAGGGUCGGGCCUCGUCGGCCCCGGCAAGCACGGUAGCGGCGGCUCCGGCCUCUAGGGCCGGCACGGCGGCUUGGGGCUGCACUAGGGCUGCGGCGGCGGCCUCCACCUGGGUGGCGCGUGGGGCGGGCUCCACCACGGAGGCGUCGGCAGGCUGCAGGGCGGAGGGAAGCACACUCAUUCGCGCGCGUCCCGGCGGCCGGUGCUGCCACUGGCUCUAGGCGACAUUUUAUCGCAUCAUCAUGAUGAUACACAUGGAAGGUCGACGAAGUUUAUUUCUCCUAGCCGGCGCCGAGGGACAAGGCCACAUUUUAAAACGGUGGGUACUAUUCGUGCUUAAAACAGUGGAGACCCAAGAUGAGGGAGGCAAGGAUUUAUAUUCAGAAACUUUUCUAAAGUGAUACUUGGUGUAUGCUUAUAUACAUCUA
rnacentral:rRNA from 1 species